CCCGACUGCUAUUUGGGUGAGACUAAGCCAUGCGAGUUGAAUGGAAUACCUAAAUUUUCCAUGGCAAACUGCUCAGUAACACAUGAUCAACUUACCCUAUGGAAAAAAAUAACCUCGGGAAACUGAGGAUAAUAUUUUAUAGUUGAAAAGGCUUGGAAAAGUUUUUCAAUGAAUGGAUUAAGAAAAAUGGUUCUUAAUUGCCAUAGGAUAGGAUCGUGGUCGAUUAUGGUUGUUGGUGAGGUAACGGCUCACCAAGCCGAUAAUCGAUAGGGGCCGUGAGAGCGGGAGCCCCGAGAUGGGUACUGAGACAACGACCCAGGCCUUACGAGGCGCAGCAGGCGCGAAACCUCCGCAAUACACGAAAGUGUGACGGGGUUACCCAAAGUGUUCAAUCUUGAACUGUGGUAGGUGGGUAAUAUCCCCUACUAGAAAGGAGAGGGCAAGGCUGGUGCCAGCCGCCGCGGUAAAACCAGCUCUUCAAGUUGUCGGGAUAAUUAUUGGGCUUAAAGCGUCCGUAGCCGGUUUAGAAAGUUCCUGGUAAAAUCGGGUAGCUUAACUAUCUGUAUGCUAGGAAUACUCCUGUACUAGAGGGCGGGAGAGGUCUGAGGUACUACAGGGGUAGGGGUGAAAUCUUAUAAUCCUUGUAGGACCACCAGUGGCGAAGGCGUCAGACUGGAACGCGCCUGACGGUGAGGGACGAAAGCCAGGGUAGCGAACCGGAUUAGAUACCCGGGUAGUCCUGGCCGUAAACGAUGCAUACUAGGUGAUGGUACGGCCAUGAGCCGUGUCAGUGCCGUAGGGAAACCGUUAAGUGUGCCGCCUGGGAAGUACGGUCGCAAGGCUAAAACUUAAAGGAAUUGGCGGGGGAGCACCACAAGGGGUGAAGCCUGCGGUUCAAUUGGACUCAACGCCGGGAAACUUACCAGGGGAGACAGCAGAAUGAAGGUCAGGUUGACGACCUUACCCGACGAGCUGAGAGGAGGUGCAUGGCCGUCGCCAGUUCGUGCUGUGAGGUAUCCUGUUAAGUCAGGCAACGAACGAGAUCCGCGCCUUUAUUUGCCAGCAAGAAGUCACGACUUCGUUGGGAACACUAAAGGGACCGCCAUCGAUAAGAUGGAGGAAGGAGCGGGCAAAGGCAGGUCAGUAUGCCCCGAAACCCCUGGGCUACACGCGGGCUGCAAUGGUAUGAACAAUGGGCUGUAACUCCGAAAGGAGAAACCAAUCCCGAAAUCAUAUCUCAGUUGGGAUUGUCGGCUGUAACCCGCCGACAUGAACGUGGAAUCCCUAGUAAUCGUGUGUCAUCAUCGCACGGUGAAUACGUCUCUGCUCCUUGCACACACCGCCCGUCGCUCCAUCCGAGUGCACUAAAGAUGAGGUCUGGUCAGACUGGUCAUAUCGAGUUUCUAGUACGCGAGGAGGGAG
rnacentral:rRNA from 1 species